AUGAUGUCGUCCACCCUUGCCGCGGGCACGAGCUGGCACCUGGCAGCCAACGAGUGCACACCGAGCGGCACGGUUGAGGUAGCUGAAGCCGAAUCGUAACCCUAAGUGCCAGGGCUGCUGCUGGCGCAACCAAUGGUGACGGAUCUAGAAAGAAAUAACAGUAGGAUCUGAACGAACUAGAUAGAGUUACAGUUCCCCUUCCAUCUAUAUAUGGUAAAAAAAUUUAGUGGGGUCUUCGUGGGGUCUUUCGUAGUCUUUACACCAGUAAUGGGGUCUCUCGUAUAUGGCUCAGCCAACCAUACAUACCUAAUGUACAAUUGGUCGCCACCGACGUCGGCCUCCGGGACCAAGGCGGUGAUGACGUUGCACGACUUCAACCGCCUAGCGCCACAAGAUCUACACCAUACCAACGAUAGCAUCGUGGCCACCCGAGCCAUCGACGAGUGCGACUCUCGGAACGACUGCAAUGUAGGGACUGGCUACCUGCUGCCAUGCGUGGCCCCAAUGCCAUUGCCGUGUCCCCGGACGUUUGGGACGCACUCGGCCUCGGCACCACCUGCACCAAGGACCGCAAGUAGAUCGUCACUUGGUUAA
rnacentral:lncRNA from 1 species